UGGGGAAUAUUGCACAAUGGGCGCAAGCCUGAUGCAGCCAUGCCGCGUGUAUGAAGAAGGCCUUCGGGUUGUAAAGUACUUUCAGUCGGGAGGAAGGUGGUAAGGUUAAUAACCUUAUCAAUUGACGUUACCGACAGAAGAAGCACCGGCUAACUCCGUGCCAGCAGCCGCGGUAAUACGGAGGGUGCAAGCGUUAAUCGGAAUUACUGGGCGUAAAGCGCACGCAGGCGGUUUGUUAAGUCAGAUGUGAAAUCCCCGGGCUCAACCUGGGAACUGCAUCUGAUACUGGCAAGCUUGAGUCUCGUAGAGGGGGGUAGAAUUCCAGGUGUAGCGGUGAAAUGCGUAGAGAUCUGGAGGAAUACCGGUGGCGAAGGCGGCCCCCUGGACAAAGACCGACGCUCAGGUGCGAAAGCGUGGGGAGCAAACAGG
rnacentral:rRNA from 1 species